GACGAACGCUGGCGGCGUGCUUAACACAUGCAAGUCGAACGGAAAGGCCCUGCUUUUGUGGGGUGCUCGAGUGGCGAACGGGUGAGUAACACGUGAGUAACCUGCCCUUGACUUUGGGAUAACUUCAGGAAACUGGGGCUAAUACCGGAUAGGAGCUCCUGCUGCAUGGUGGGGGUUGGAAAGGUUCGGCGGUUGGGGAUGGACUCGCGGCUUAUCAGCUUGUUGGUGGGGUAGUGGCUUACCGAGGCUUUGACGGGUAGCCGGCCUGAGAGGGUGACCGGCCACAUUGGGACUGAGAUACGGCCCAGACUCCUACGGGAGGCAGCAGUGGGGAAUAUUGCACAAUGGGCGGAAGCCUGAUGCAGCAACGCCGCGUGCGGGAUGACGGCCUUCGGGUUGUAAACCGCUUUCGCCUGUGACGAAGCGUGAGUGACGGUAAUGGGUAAAGAAGCACCGGCUAACUACGUG
rnacentral:rRNA from 1 species